AAUUUUGGAACAAUUUUCGCUAUUCCGUAAAAACAGUUUGAUGUGAAUGUAUUUGUUUUUAACAUUUUUGUGUGCUUUAUAGACAAGCUUUAAUUGCGACGGAUUUUAGGAUGCUUUUUAACUUUAAUGACAUUAUAUAAUGGUUGUUUGUUACAAUAUAGACUCUCGACUUUGUUUCAUCGUUGUUUUUCAACUUUUUAUAGGAUUAACGUUCAACCAGAAUUGUGAACCAAAGCGCUACGAUCUAACGAAAUACGGAGGACAGAUAUUCAAUGUAACUAGAUCGGGAGCCACGUGCACCGAAAAUAUCUGCGCAAAGGCCACAGCCCAUUUAUAUUGCCUAAAUAAUGGGACCUGUAUAAAUAAUAGAUGUUCCUGUCCUCAAAUUGGAGGGACAGGAGAGUUUUACCUUGGAAUUCAUUGCCAGUAUAAGCAGUCAUAUUGUACAGCUUUACCAGAACAAGACCUUCCUGCCUGUAAGAACGGCGGAAACUGUACGUCAGUCGAUAUAACUGAUGAAAACCAAAGGGGAUAUGUCUGCUCGUGUCCCUCUGGGUUUACUGGUAGCAGAUGUGAAACCGAUAUUAAUGAAUGCUCAAGUAGUCCAUGUUCGUCGAACGGAGAAUGUAAAAACUUAGCUAACAAAUUUAUUUGCAUUUGUCAAGCGGGAUAUACAGGAAGACUAUGCAAUUCCGAAAUAGAUGAAUGUUCAUCAUCACCUUGUUUAAAUGGUACCUGCAAAAAUUUAAUUAACAAGUAUGAAUGCAAUUGUUCUGGAACUGGUUACGAGGGGGAAAAUUGCGAAAAGCUAAUCGAUAAUUGCAAGAGUAACCCCUGUCAAAAUGAGGGACAAUGUAUCAAUGAAAUCAAUAAUUAUAAAUGCAUUUGCAAAAUUGGUUUUAAUGGAAAGAACUGUGAAAUUGAUGUAGACGAAUGCCAAAGCAAUCCCUGCUUCAACAAAGCCAUAUGCCAACAAAAAUCACCCGAAAGUCCACCAGAUGAACGAGCUGGUUUCUCGUGUUCCUGUCUUCCUGGCUUUACAGGGACACUCUGUAAAGAAGAAAUCAACGACUGUAUAAAUCAUAUGUGUUCCGAAAAUGGUCUUUGUGUAGACAAGGUAAACGGUUACGAAUGCGUUUGUAAAAGUGGUUUUACUGGAAGAUAUUGUGAAGAAAAUAUUAAUGAAUGCCUACUCUAUGAACCGUGUCUGAACGGCGGAACUUGUGAGGAUGGCAUAAACGAUUACACUUGCCAUUGUCCAUAUCCAAAUAAGCUAAAUAUGUAUUUUGGUGACAAGAAUUGCUCAACUGAACUUAUUGGAUGCAAAAAUGGGAAUCCCUGCGGAUCUGGCAUAUGUUUACCUUCUUUUAGAGGCGGAAUUGAUGAUUCCUUUGACUGCGACUGUAACAAGGAAACAACUGGUCAAAUUUGCGAACGUUCAGCUGUUGUAUCGUUUGAUGGUGAAUCAGCCUGGAGGACAGAGGGUAGAGGAAAACCAACGGGAAUACCUGCUUCUGGAGUAAAAAUAGAAUUCUGGUUUCGCACUACCAUAACUGGUCGAACAUUAUUUGGUGCACUAUCAUCCGGAUUGUCAGUUAAUCUCCUUUUAAAUGAUUCUUACUCAUUAGUUGGAAAAUUGGGCGAAGUCACAAUUUCUAUUGAUGCCAACAAAAAUAUUGCAAACGGCGUAGAAAAUUUUAUUUCCUUUGAAAUUAGACCGUCCUUUUUAGAACUACAAUUGAUAACUGAUGGAGUAAAUAUAACAACAACGGAACAUUUUCCUAGCAAAAAUGUUGAAAUGAAUGAUAUGACUUUUGGUGGAGCAUGGGAAUGUCCAACGGAAUGCUUCGUUGGUUGUAUGAGUGGUGUUUAUAUUUACCCUAGUGAAAAAGCAGAAAGAGUAAAGAAAUACAUAGAGGCUCCUCAGGGUGCUCAAACUUGUCCACGGAAAGUUCAAUGCAGAAAUGAUACGUGUUUGGGUAGAGGUUUAUGUCAGGAUUUAUGGUUUGACUUUCAAUGCAUUUGUAAUAGACCUUUUGUUGGAAGAAACUGCGAAUUUGAAGUAUCAGCUCUGACUUUUUAUGAUAGUACAUCCAUUCAAUAUCGUAUUGAUAAUUUUAAGGCUUCAAACUUAGAAAUCUCAUUUUAUUUUCGGACAAGAUCAACAAACUUAGAUCUAAUAACUUUGGAGAUAAGUCAAUUUAAUUAUAAUUUUUAUAUGAAUCGUUCAAUUCUUAAUUUCAAUGAGAAAGGCUUAAUUUCAAGAGACUUUGCAGAUGGAAAGAGUCAUUUCAUAACUAUAGCAAUAAGCGACAAUGGAAAGUUAAAUGUUAAAGUGGACAGUUACUUUACAACUGUAGAUAUUUCUCGAAGAGUAUUAAGCAAUAUCUUGAUUAAAAUAAGGCCACAAUCCAAAGUUAGCAUUCAAGAUAUCCGCCUAAACGAAAAGCUACUUCUACUUCAUGAUUCUCCAUUAUUACAAAAAUUUUUCAAUGACUCUUUCAUCCCGGAAACCUCAAGUGGACAAAUUGAAUAUGGCGAAGUAACAGCAGACAAAUGUGACCAAAAUGUUUGCAAUUCAACUAACACAUUAAAUUGUACAAAUAUAUUCUAUGAUGACUACCAUUGUACAUGCAAAAGAGAUUGGACAGGAAAAAUCUGCAACAUCAAUGAUUUUUGUUUUGAAGACCCUUGUAAAGAUAUUCCAGAUACUGCUUGCCAAAACAGGCCAUCUUCUGGAGGAUUUUAUUGUGUAGCUAAUACAACUCUUGAGAAAUCUGUGAUUUUUAAGUAUGAUACUCAAAGACAAUUUGCGCAACUAAAAAAUACUCUACAAAUUGAAUUUCGAAGUCGAACUCCAUCAACUCUUUUUAAAAUGACUAACAGUCAAACAGAAUUUCAGUUAAGGGUAAACUUAGAAGAAAUUAUUCUAAUUUAUCAAUCCGCUCAGUGCGCUUUUAAAAGUUCUCUAUUGGACGGUGAAUGGAGAGAAAUUAAACUUACAUUUAGCGAUAAUGGAAUAACUUAUGAAGGAGAAGUUUGCGAUAGAAUCAAAAAUGAAACAAUACUCAAUAAUCUUGCCAAAGACGAAGCUGAAAUAGUUGUUGGCGAGAAUUAUCAAGGCUGUAUGGGUCAAUUAUAUUUAGGCGAUGAGUUAUUAUCAUGGAUCCAAAAUCAACCUGGAUUAAGUUCCCUGUAUAAAUUAGCUGAUUCAUCAGCAAUAAGUAUGGGUUGCAAUCCUCCAAAUAUGUGUAGUCCAUCCCCAUGCGUUUAUGGAAAAUGUUCAGAUAAUUUUUAUCAGUAUAGCUGCUCAUGUGAGAAUGGUUGGGAGGGACAGAAUUGUUCGAAAGAUAAAAACGAAUGUAAUUCAAAUAUCUGUGAGAACGGAGCAACUUGUUUAAAUCUUCCAGGAAAUUUUCAAUGUACUUGCUCUCCAGGAUAUACUGGAAAGAGGUGUGAAAAUGACAUUGACUAUUGCGAAUUGUAUAAAAAUAAUACGAAUGAGAAGGCCUGCCUCAAUAAUGGAACUUGCACCGAUCUACUUCUAGGUUUCAAUUGUACAUGCCCGAAUGAGAAUGUAACUGGCCAUAGGUGCCAGUAUUCACCGAAAAGUGACUGCAAUACAGUUGAUAUAUGUCGAAAUGGAUCUACUUGUACAUCGACAUUAACUGAUUUCUUUCAAUGGAAGUGUGAAUGUGCUAAUGGUUUCGAAGGCCGUCACUGCGAUCAGGAAAUUGAUUAUUGUCUCAAAUAUAACAAUCCAUGUAAGAACGGAACGUGUGAGAAUGACAAAACUACAUUCAAUUAUACGUGCAACUGCUUUCCUGGAUUUACAUCAGCUCUUUGCGACGAAGAUAUAGACGAAUGUGAAACGAAUCCAUGUAAAAAUGGUGCAAAGUGCAAUAACUUAGUGAACGCCUAUGAAUGUUCAUGUCGUGAAGGAUGGAAAGGCUUCAAUUGUGACGAGGAUAUUAAUGAAUGCGAACAAAACCCUUGUGAAAAUUCAGGAACAUGUACGAAUCUUCCUGGUAACUAUUCUUGCCAAUGCACUCAGUUUUAUCAAGGAGUUAACUGUACUGAGGAUGUUGAUGAAUGCAAGAAUGAAAUCUGCAAAAAUGGAGCGACUUGUGUGAAUUCAAUAGGUUCUUAUAAAUGUAAUUGCGCUGCAGGAUGGACAUCCACAAACUGCGACGAAAAUAUUGACGAAUGCUUAAUAAAUCCCUGUCAAAAUGGAGGGACAUGUAUUGACGGUUUGAACGAGUAUACAUGUAACUGUACUGCAACUGGUUACAUGGGAAAGAAUUGCACUAGAGAUGUAAAUGAAUGUCUUACUAGUGGGUUUUGCAGUAAUGGAGGAACAUGUAGCAACAUAAUAGGAAGUUAUAAUUGUACCUGUACUGCUGAUUAUAUGGGACCUAAAUGCCAAAUACGGAAUCCUUGCGCUGAUGAAAAUUGUAAUGGAAAUGGAAACUGUACACCUGUUGAUGCCAUUCCUAAAUGCAAUUGUUUUGAAGGCUGGGAAGGAAAUAAAUGCCAAACUAAGGUGAGUAGAUUAAAUAUUAUCCUUAUUGCCCAAUAUCUCAAAAAUAUAACAGCAAAACUAUCGUCCAGAUUAGAUAUUAAAUUAAUUAUGUUAAGAUAUUAAUUUCAAUAUCAUAAAGGUUUUUCAGUUAAAAAAAAGUAUCUAUUUUAUAAAAAUUCUUGCACAGCUUCGAGAGGUUUCAACCAAGGCGACCGAUGAAAAUGUUGGCCUAAUCGCAGGCUUGUCGGUCGUUUCUAUUCUACUAUGCCUGAUUGCACUAUGUAUGAUUUUUAUAUAUUUUAUGAGUUUAAAUUGUUUCUUUUUGGAAAGAAACAGUAUGUUUUACUAUUUUACUAGAAGACUAGCUUUACUAUCGUGCUAACAUGUAUUAUUCAGAAUUCCUUGCUUCAUAUGUUCAAACCUUGAAAUUUUUGCUAACAGUUGUUAAUAUUAGUUAAAAUUAACACUUACGUUUACCUACAGAAAUCUGAUGGUCCUAAAAUUUCUAUAAUAUUGGGAUCAGUUUUUGGUGUUUUGUGCCUUAUACUAUUAAUUGGUAAUCAUGCUUUUUUUAUUGUUUUAUAUAUUUAACGACCUAGUAGUAAAUUAAUCUCAUAUUAAAAAGUCUGUAUUAAAUAUAGUAAAUAAAACUGUAUUGAUUUGAGCAUACCAUACAUAUAUUAAAAAUUGUUUUUCUCAUUUUUAACAGUGACUAUUAUAUUGAUCCUGAUUGCACGUAAGAAAAGAGCAGACAGAGGCGUGUAUAGCCCUUCAAAACAGGAAGUUAAUGGUUCAAGAGUUGAUAUGAAUAAUGUACUGAAACCUCCCCCCGAAGAAAGACUGAUCUAAAUCAACGUUCUAACAUGUUCUGUUAUUUUUUUUCUUCUUCUAAUUUCGUCUCUACCACUACCAAUUGUUAAAGUUUUUUUGAUUUUUGUUUUUUAUUAUUUCGCAAUCAAAUGUUAAAGAUAUUAUCGAAAUCGUGCAAAGGUGAUUGCAAGAAAUAGGAAAAUUUGGGGAAACAAAAAAAAACAUAUCAUGCUUUUAUAUUUUAACGUACAUAUCAAAAGAGAAAGAAUUUUUGUAUAUUGUAUUUGUUUAAAUGUUUUAUAGAUUUUGUUAAGAGCAUUUUUAUUGGCAACGACAUAUGGUGCUAUCUUAAAGCGAUAAUUAAUAAUGUAGGCUAAUUUCUUUUUUUAAAAAAAUUGUCUACAUAUCUCAUUCUGUACUCAAAGCUCUAGAUGUAUUUAUAAAUAACCUUACAAAAAUAUGUUUUAAAAAAAAAAUAUAAUAAAAAUGUUAACUAAAUCAAUUUGUUCCUUCGUAACAAAUUCCUCCUUCUUGACAAGCUUGGCAAAGGCUGGAAUUGUGUUGCUGUCUCGGUUUUCCAGCUCGUCUGUCCAAUCUUAAGAUUGAUUGGGUAAAACCAUAAUAUAUUUGACCGACCCGUUGAUGAAUAUUCUGAAGCACCUGUAACGGAUAUAGACAUUUAGUAUUUAUCGUUUGAAUACCUUGUAAUAGGCUUAGGGAGGGGAUUAUUUAAAGCUUGCUAAAAAUGAAUUAUUCAGUGAAUAUUCAACUAUGUCCCUUAGGGCUUAUCAAUAGGUAUGGAAGUCAAAAUAUUUCUUUUAUCAUUCAAUUCAAACUUAUAUUACAAAAAGUUAGAUGCUUAGAUUUAUUUAAUAGAAAGUUUGUUUCGAUAAGAAAAGUCAAAUAUUGAAUAGCAAUAAAAAUCACAUUAAGACAGUAUAUAAAAGCAACUAUGACAUCGUUCAAAUAAAUCCUUAAACACUGAUAAAAUGACCCUGCAAAUAUUUAGGUUCAUCGUCUGAGAAUUAUUCUGAUCCCUAUACUAAUUUAUAUUAUUAUGAUUCAAAAAGGAACAAUAAAUUCUUUUAUCUUUUCUUUAGGUAUUUAAUCCUAUACAACUCAAUAUGCUUUCUGCGGAGAGGCGAUAACAAACUGCAUUAUUAUUAAUUUCACACAAUACGAAUCGAAGACGGAAAUGUUUUCACAUAAAACUACACGUUAAAGAAUCUUUAAUACUAAACGUAUCUACAAUAGGAUACGCUAUAGGUGUUCAACGGUGUGCACCCCCGCCUGACCUUCAAAAAGAACGCCCACCCUUUCUAUCCCAGUCAAUAUCUCAAAGUAAACAAACGACUGAAACGUAUGAGAUUCUCAUCACAAAAUUUAAAAAAGUUAAUAAUUCCACUCUCUUAAAACAACCGUCCAAAUCUCAUUCUCAAAUAAAAACUGUCAUUAAAUCAGCCUAUUCUUUUAUUCACUUUUUAUGUCGUAAUAUCUUCUUUUCUCCUCUCUGUCACCUUUCUACAGUUAAGUAAAAACAAGAAAUAAUCUAGUGAUUAUAGUCUAAUCUCUAACUCAUCCAACAAACAGGGAAUAAAGAAAAUCAUUUAGAAGAGCUAUUUAUCAUUCAUCUAACAGAAAGAAUAAAGAAAUUAUCUAUCCUAUCUAAAUCGACUUGUAUGAUCUACAAUCCUAUUAUUUACUCUUAUAACAGCUAUUUCUUGUUUACUCUUAUACGUAUUUCCGUGAAACUUCUUUUUAAAGAAUUAUUUGUUAUUUUCUCUAUCAUACAAAUCUUUUCCCUUUAAAGAUACUCAAUAUUUAUUUCAUUCUCUUCUUUUACUAUUCAAAACAACAUUUAUUUUCGUCUAAAAUUUAAUGUUGACCUUACAACAAACCUUUUCUAUUAUCCUAGUCGCGUAUUUUAAGUUUUCCCUUGUUAUAAUAAACCGUAGAGAAAGUCCUCGUCUUUUAUUUGAAAAUGGCCUUCUAUAACUGCUAUCUCUUUCACUCUCUCUCUCUCUCUCUCCCUCUUUGAUAUAAAAACACCAACAGUGGAAGAGAAGUAUCAAACUAAAAAGAAUUAUCUAAUCUCUAAAUUUAUCAUGAAACAUUGCGUAACAUUUGCAAUUUGGUGUCGUCUUCUUCGUAAUUGAUAUAAUUAAUGUAACUAAAUCGAAGAAAAGACAAACAUGCUAAUAAUUUAGGGACGUUAAAAAUUUUUAACCCUUCUUUCUAUAUAGCGACGAGCAAACAACACUCUUUUUAAAUAUAUUUAGAAACAUUUAUAUCAACAUUCUAAAGGCAUAAGCCUUUGAUGUUAACCGCACAAGUUGGUUUUAACGAAAGAUUGUUAUUAAGACAGAUCAACCUGUUACUCUUAGUUUACUGUUUGAUUUAGGUAUAAAUUUAACAUGCUGACAGGCACUUGAAGGAGAUUUUAAAAACAUGGGUCUACGAACCUUUUGAACCUCCUCUGGAUA
rnacentral:misc_RNA from 1 species